GAUUAUGGCUCAGGAUGAACGCUAGCUACAGGCUUAACACAUGCAAGUCGAGGGGCAGCAUUGGAGUAGCAAUACUCAGAUGGCGACCGGCGCACGGGUGAGUAACACGUAUCCAACCUGCCGCUUACUCGGGGAUAGCCUUUCGAAAGAAAGAUUAAUACCCGAUGGUAUAAAGAGUUCGCAUGUUCUCUUUAUUAAAGAAUUUCGGUAAGCGAUGGGGAUGCGUUCCAUUAGAUAGUUGGCGGGGUAACGGCCCACCAAGUCUACGAUGGAUAGGGGUUCUGAGAGGAAGGUCCCCCACAUUGGAACUGAGACACGGUCCAAACUCCUACGGGAGGCAGCAGUGAGGAAUAUUGGUCAAUGGACGAGAGUCUGAACCAGCCAAGUAGCGUGAAGGAUGACUGCCCUAUGGGUUGUAAACUUCUUUUAUAAGGGAAUAAAGUGAGGGACGUGUCCCUUUUUGUAUGUACCUUAUGAAUAAGGAUCGGCUAACUCCGUGCCAGCAGCUGC
rnacentral:rRNA from 1 species